rnacentral:rRNA from 1 species
GACGAACGCUGGCGGCGUGCUUAACACAUGCAAGUCGAGCGGUAAGGCCCUUUCGGGGGUACACGAGCGGCGAACGGGUGAGUAACACGUGGGUGACCUGCCCUCAGCUCUGGGAUAAGCCUGGGAAACCGGGUCUAAUACCGGAUAUGACUCCAUGACGCAUGUUGUGGGGUGGAAAGCCUUGUGCGGCUGAGGAUGGGCCCGCGGCCUAUCAGCUUGUUGGUGGGGNGAUGGCCUACCAAGGCGACGACGGGUAGCCGGCCUGAGAGGGGCGACCGGCCACACUGGGACUGAGACACGGCCCAGACUCCUACGGGAGGCAGCAGUGGGGAAUCUUGCGCAAUGGGCGAAAGCCUGACGCAGCGACGCCGCGUGAGGGAUGACGGCCUGG